GGCCCCGUGGUGAGAUCACAUUAGAUUGCAAAUCUAAAGACGUAGAUUAAUUUUCUGCCGGGGCUU
rnacentral:tRNA from 1 species